rnacentral:rRNA from 1 species
GAGUUUGAUCCUGGCUCAGAGCGAACGUUUGCGGCGGGCCUAACACAUGCAAGUCGAACGGGCACCUUCGGGUGUCAGUGGCGCACGGGUGCGUAACACGUGGAUAACCAACCCUUUGGUUCGGGACAACAGCGGGAAACUGCUGCUAAUACCGGGUAAGUCUGCGGAGUCACAAGGCUCUGCAGAGAGAGGCUCGCAAGGGCCGCCAGAGGACGGGUCCGCGUCCCAUCAGCUAGUUGGUGAGGUAAUGGCUCACCAAGGCUAAGACGGGUAGCUGGUCUGAGAGGAUGAUCAGCCACACUGGAACUGAGACACGGUCCAGACUCCUACGGGAGGCAGC